rnacentral:siRNA from 1 species
UGCCCUAUUAUGUCCCAUUGUCCU